GAAAUGCGAUAAUUAAUGUGAAUUGCAGAAUUCAGUGAAUCAUCGAGUCUUUGAACGCACAUUGUGCCCCCUGGUAUUCCGGGGGGCAUGCCUGUCCGAGCGUCAUUGCUGCCCUCAAGCACGGCUUGUGUGUUGGGCUUCCGUCCCUGGCAACGGGGACGGGCCCAAAAGGCAGUGGCGGCACCAUGUCUGGUCCUCGAGCGUAUGGGUCUUUGUCACCCGCUCCCGUAGGUCCAGCUGGCAGCUAGCCUCGCAACCAAUCUUUUUAACCAGGUUGACCUCGGAUCAGGUAGGGAUACCCGCUGAACUUAAGC
rnacentral:misc_RNA from 1 species